UUCUGAUGCUCAAGCUAGCAGCGAGCUAAGUGUUCAUUAAUAAGUCAAUUAGAACAGGACCUCGAGUGAGACGGUAAACAUCAAUAAAACGAUUAAAAUCUGCAAGAACACGUUCGACUAAAACAGAGCUGUAGUGCAGAUGGAACCAAGUAACAGUAAGCGUCAAGAGACAAAGCGCGCAGAAGGCGUAGUCUCUGUCGGGUCUUACCGGGUGUGGAGUGUCACUGCUGUCCGAGGCCCAGGAGCUUCAUUCCGGAUUGAAUUCCGUGGGAAAAACCGAGGCGCCGCAAGGCCUAGUUUAUAAAUAUUACCACGCGU